AGAGUUUGAUCCUGGCUCAGGAUGAACGCUGGCGGCGUGCCUAACACAUGCAAGUCGAACGAAGCCUUCGGGCUUAGUGGCGGACGGGUGAGUAACGCGUGAGAAUCUCCCUUCAGGAUGGGGACAACCGUUGGAAACGACGGCUAAUCCCCAAUGUGCCGAGAGGUGAAAGGGUUUCCGCCUGAAGAAGAGCUCGCGUCCGAUUAGUUAGUUGGUGAGGUAAGAGCUCACCAAGGCAGCGAUCGGUAGCUGGUCUGAGAGGAUGAGCAGCCACACUGGGACUGAGACACGGCCCAGACUCCUACGGGAGGCAGCAGUGGGGAAUUUUCCGCAAUGGGCGAAAGCCUGACGGAGCAACGCCGCGUGUGGGAAGAAGGCUCUUGGGCUGUCAACCACUUUUCUCAGGGAAGAAGUUCUGACGGUACCUGAGGAAUCAGCCUCGGCUAACUCCGUGCCAGCAGCCGCGGUAAUACGGAGGAGGCAAGCGUUAUCCGGAAUUAUUGGGCGUAAAGCGUCCGCAGGGGGCGCAUCAAGUCUGCUGUUAAAGGCUGGAGCUUAACUCCGGUAGAGCAGUGGAAACUGGUGCGCUAGAGGGCGACAGGGGUAGAGGGAAUUCCCAGUGUAGCGGUGAAA
rnacentral:rRNA from 1 species